AUUGAACGCUGGCGGCAGGCCUAACACAUGCAAGUCGAGCGGAUGAAGGGAGCUUGCUCCUGGAUUCAGCGGCGGACGGGUGAGUAAUGCCUAGGAAUCUGCCUGGUAGUGGGGGAUAACGUCCGGAAACGGGCGCUAAUACCGCAUACGUCCUGAGGGAGAAGGUGGGGGAUCUUCGGACCUCACGCUAUCAGAUGAGCCUAGGUCGGAUUAGCUAGUUGGUGGGGUAAAGGCCUACCAAGGCGACGAUCCGUAACUGGUCUGAGAGGAUGAUCAGUCACACUGGAACUGAGACACGGUCCAGACUCCUACGGGAGGCAGCAGUGGGGAAUAUUGGACAAUGGGCGAAAGCCUGAUCCAGCCAUGCCGCGUGUGUGAAGAAGGUCUUCGGAUUGUAAAGCACUUUAAGUUGGGAGGAAGGGCAGUAAGUUAAUACCUUGCUGUUUUGACGCUACCAACAGAAUAAGCACCGGCUAACUUCGUG
rnacentral:rRNA from 1 species